GAUAAGAAAACCACAUCUUACAAGUUACAACACUCUUAUAAAUAGAGAGUGAACCUAAAAUAUCCAUUAAAGCAGAAGAAUUUAGAGGAGAUGAAGAUGAUGAUGAUUAAGAGUGUAUUGAUCGCAUGCAUCACACUUCUUCUACUCACUGCCUUAACCGAAGUGACUGACGCAGCUCGACGAACGCCACAUAGAUCUAAAGCCGUUGCUACUGAUAGUGUAGCUUACCCUCAAGAAUGUCCAUGUUGCCAGUGGGGAUAUAGCGGUUACCCGAAUAAGUACUACCUCUGCCAGAAGAUAUGCUGCAAGACUUGAUUCAACAAGGAAAGUCCUCAUGCAUGCAUAAGCCACCGAAACGCACAUGUACUCUUCUAGUCAGUAUUGUACGUAGUAUGGUUAAGUUGUUGUUGGUGAUGUUACUUUGCUCUUUGUGGAUGUAUCAAACUAUCUACCACUAAAUAAAGUUUGGUGCUUAUGUUUUAUUUC